CCUGGUAGCUCAGCUGGUAGAGAAUCUGCCUGCAAUGCAGGAAACCCUGGUUUGAUUCCUGGGUCAGGA
rnacentral:tRNA from 1 species